AAAAAGACAAACCAUGGAUUUUCGUGUCCAACUUUGACUGUCCGUCUUAUAUGAAUUUAUUUUAUAAUUCGUAUUUUCAUUGUUGUUAGAUGAUAAAACAUGAUUAAUAUUUUAUGCGUGACUUGUCUUUUUUUUUCAUAAUUUUUUCAAAUAAGACGAACGGUCAAUCGUUGGGCAUGGAAAAUAGGGUUUGUCUUUUU
rfam:Oryza sativa Indica Group cultivar 93-11 Ctg036719, whole genome shotgun sequence.